rnacentral:rRNA from 1 species
UACGUAGGGUGCAAGCGUUGUCCGGAAUUAUUGGGCGUAAAGAGCUUGUAGGCGGUUUGUCGCGUCUGCUGUGAAAUUUCGGGGCUCAACCCCGAACUUGCAGUGGGUACGGGCAGACUAGAGUGCGGUAGGGGAGACUGGAAUUCCUGGUGUAGCGGUGGAAUGCGCAGAUAUCAGGAGGAACACCGAUGGCGAAGGCAGGUCUCUGGGCCGUUACUGACGCUGAGGAGCGAAAGCAUGGGGAGCGAACAGG